UAUUUAUGACUGCGUCUCCCUCAGUCCAGUGUCGCGUUCUCCCUCAUGCUGUGUGAUUUUCCUUGUGUUUCCUGAAUGACUUUGAUGAAACUUCUCAAUAACUGCCCUGACACGCCAUAUUUCCGGCCACCCCCACUGUACUUCAGAGUGUUAAAAUCCUGCGACCAGCUGAGGGUCACCAGCUGGGACUUCAAAGAUGGGACAGCUAAACCCCUAAUAACAAAAAGGAACACAGUGGCAGCCACCACCGAUGGGCAGACUGUGACCAAAGUCACUGAUGUUCGAGGAGUUUGCCUCUAAAGUCCAGCAGCGGGGGUGUUACAUAAUGAGAGGGCAUGAACUCAGGGGCACGGCCCCACCUAACAAUAUCAACAUAACAGCACGGACACAGUUUUUUAGGGCACCCACACUAAGUGUUAGUGAAGAUCUUUUCACAGAAGCAGAGGCUCUUCUGCAUCCUCAUGCUCCUCUCACUCCUCUGAAGAUGAGCUCCCCAAAUGAGGGGCUCGUCACAGUCCAAGGGGAGGUGGCAGAGUUUUCUGCAGUAAAGGACGUACUGUCAGGAAAACAGCACGUUCCCUUACAAAAUCUCCAGCUAAAGGAGGAUGGUUAUACCAUGUCAGUCUGCCUCCGGAGUGAGGCAGGAAUUCACAGCUUUAAUGUGGGAGACCAGAUCAACCUCUCCCACAUGAAGCUGAACCACUCCUCAUAUGGGCCACAGCUGCACAGCACAACGUAUACAAAGACUGAGACAAAAGUAGAGGACAGAGCGGAGGUCCUCAUCAUUGGUGUGGCUACAAGUGAAAAGCCGAAACAGCUUGAGGUGCUGUUGGACGAUG
ensembl:lncRNA